CAAUAGCGUAUAUUAAAGUCGUUGCAGUUAAAAAGCUCGUAGUUGGAUUUGUGGUGUACUUCGGCGGCCCGUCACUAUGUGAUGGAGCUUGCUGAAGUCGCCAUCCUUGGGUGGAUCCUGUGUGGCAUUAAGUUGUCGUGCAGGGGAUGCCCAUCGUUUACUGUGAAAAAAUUAGAGUAUUCAAAGCAGGCUUAUGCCGUUGAAUAUAUUAGCAUGGAAUAAUAAGAUAGGACCUUGGUACUAUUUUGUUGGUUUGCGCACCAAGGUAAUGAUUAAUAGGGACAGUUGGGGGUAUUCGUAUUUCAUUGUCAGAGGUGAAAUUCUUGGAUUUUUGAAAGACGAACUACUGCGAAAGCAUUUACCAAGGAUGUUUNCAUUA
rnacentral:rRNA from 1 species